rnacentral:rRNA from 1 species
GAGUUUGAUCAUGGCUCAGGAUGAACGCUAGCGGCAGGCUUAAUACAUGCAAGUCGAGGGGCAGCAGCUUUAUAGCAAUAUAGAGGCUGGCGACCGGCAAACGGGUGCGGAACACGUACACAACCUUCCUUGAAUAGGGGGAUAGCCCAUAGAAAUGUGGAUUAAUACCCCGUAAUAUAGCGGUGUGGCAUCACACUGUUAUUAUAGUUUCGGCGAUUCGAGAUGGGUGUGCGGCUGAUUAGGUAGUUGGCGGGGUAAAGGCCCACCAAGCCUUCGAUCAGUAGCUGAUGUGAGAGCAUGAUCAGCCACACGGGCACUGAGACACGGGCCCGACUCCUACGGGAGGCAGCAGUAAGGAAUAUUGGUCAAUGGACGCAAGUCUGAACCAGCCAUGCCGCGUGAAGGAUGAAGGUCCUCUGGAUUGUAAACUUCUUUUAUAGGGGGCGAAAAAAGGUCUUUCUAGAUCACUUGACAGUACCCUAUGAAUAAGCACCGGCUAACUCCGUGCCAGCAGCCGCGGUAAUACGGAGGGUGCAAGCGUUAUCCGGAUUCACUGGGUUUAAAGGGUGCGUAGGCGGGUAGGUAAGUCAGAGGUGAAAUCCUGGAGCUUAACUCCAGAACUGCCUUUGAUACUAUCUAUCUUGAAUAUGGUGGAGGUAAGCGGAAUAUGUCAUGUAGCGGUGAAAUGCAUAGAUAUGACAUAGAACACCUAUUGCGAAGGCAGCUUACUACGCCUAUAUUGACGCUGAGGCACGAAAGCGUGGGGAUCAAAMAGAUUAGAUACCCUGUAGUCCACGCCCUAACGAUGAUUACUCGACGUAUGCGAUACACAGUAUGCGUYUGAGCGAAAGCAUUAAKUAAUCCACCUUGGGAAGUACKACCGCAAGUUGAACUCAAGGAUUGGCGGGGUCCGCWCAGCCGKGGAGCAUGKGKUUAAUUCCAWGAUWCSCGAGWGGAACC